rnacentral:rRNA from 1 species
UACAGAGGGGGCAAGCGUUGUUCGGAAUUACUGGGCGUAAAGGGCGCGUAGGCGGCCUGCUAAGUCAUACGUGAAAUCCCCAGGCUCAACCUGGGAACUGCAUUUGAAACUCCCUUUCUUGAGUACCGGAGAGGAAAGUGGAAUUCCUGGUGUAGAGGUGAAAUUCGUAGAUAUCAGGAGGAACACCAGUGGCGAAGGCGGCUUUCUGGACGGUAACUGACGCUGAGACGCGAAAGCGUGGGGAGCAAACAGG